rnacentral:rRNA from 1 species
AUUGAACGCUGGCGGCAGGCCUAACACAUGCAAGUCGAACGGUAACAGGAAGAAGCUUGCUUCUUUGCUGACGAGUGGCGGACGGGUGAGUAAUGUCUGGGAAACUGCCUGAUGGAGGGGGAUAACUACUGGAAACGGUAGCUAAUACCGCAUAACGUCGCAAGACCAAAGAGGGGGACCUUCGGGCCUCUUGCCAUCGGAUGUGCCCAGAUGGGAUUAGCUAGUAGGUGGGGUAACGGCUUACCUAGGCGACGAUCCCUAGCUGGUCUGAGAGGAUGACCAGCCACACUGGAACUGAGACACGGUCCAGACUCCUACGGGAGGCAGCAGUGGGGAAUAUUGCACAAUGGGCGCAAGCCUGAUGCAGCCAUGCCGCGUGUAUGAAGAAGGCCUUCGGGUUGUAAAGUACUUUCAGCGGGGAGGAAGGGAGUAAAGUUAAUACCUUUGCUCAUUGACGUUACCCGCAGAAGAAGCACCGGCUAACUCCGUG